rnacentral:lncRNA from 10 species
UUUUUUUGAGAUGGCAUCUCACUCUGUUGCCAAGGCUGGAGUGCAGUGGCGCAAUCUCUGCUCACUACAACCUCCGCCUCCCAGGUUCAAGCAAUUCUCGGGCCUCAGCCUCCUGAGUAGCUGGGACUACAGGCAUGUGCCACCACGCCUGGCUACUUUUUAUAUUUUUAGUAAAGACAGGGUUUCACCAUGUUGGCCAUACUGGUCUCAAACUCCUGACCUCAGGUGAUCCGGCCACCUCAGCCUCCCAAAGUGCUGGGAUCACAGGCCUGAGCCACCGCACCUGGCCUCAGUUCAUUUAAUCUCAUGUUUAGCAUGUGAGGGGGGUAGGUCUCCCCUUUUACACGUGGAGAAACUGGGUUGUAUGGGAAUUCCUUGGUCAGAAGCCUCCAGCCUAUGAGUCCUCCGAUGGUAUAGAUCCUAUUCUCCAUUUUAUUUCCAUCGUUCUGCACUGUGCCUUAUACAUAGAAGGCACUUAAUAAACACUUGUUGCAUAAGCAACCCUCCCUGACUGUCUUCCUGGUGAAACCUACCUGUUGGAGCAGAUGGUACUGGACUUUAACAAGACUUAAGUAAUUAAGGGUGCUCUGUUUCCUUUGAGUCUGGGGAUCAUUCAUAAGCCUCCAGUGCCCUGAUACAAAUCAGGACCACAUGCUCUGGACACAUCUGAGUCUGAGCCGGUGUAUUCACAUCACGAAGGGGCUCCUAAGGUCAGGAUCCUGGUUCGGCAGUCCAGGCUCUACAGUUGGUAUCUCAAUCUCACUUCAUCCAUUUUCCCAGGAACGUUUGAUAAGAUCAUUCAGAACAAAUGCAGAUCACCAAAGGGAUUAUAGUUCUAUUAAUUUUGAUUUUACAUCUACGUUAGUCAAAUUGAUUCCUUCUGGGCUGAGAUCUAUGUGCAUUUCACAAUCCCCUGUCAGAGGAAAGGGAACCAGAUAACCAAGAUGGUCCAGCCUCACUGCUGCAGCCUCCAGGGGCCUCCUCAGGCCCACACAGUGGGAAAAA